AACCCCUUUACAGGGGCUGAGGGAGUGUCCUGUGUAGUUUGGGCUACUGUAGAAAUUACCACAGACCAGGGGGCUUAAAUAACAAUGUACUUCUCACAGUUCUGGAGGCCGGAAGCCCAGAUUGGGGUACCAGCACAAUCGGCUUCCAGUGAGUCUUUUUCCGGGUGUACAGUGCUACGGUGCUUUUCCUGUGAGUUCCUGGCUUUCCAAUACAGAGUUCCGUAUUUAUUGGGAUUAAAGAAGGUAUUUAGUUUGUCAGGUGGUGCCUUCAAGGAAGCGAAGGGGGUGCGGUUCACAGGAAGAAAUGAGCCCAAAGGAGACUGCCAAUUACUGCACCUGUCAGUGUUCAACAACAGAUAAAAUUAAUUCAGAAACCCAAACAGUCUGCAGAAAACCGAACACAAUUAUCUAAGAAAUUAAGUUAUACCGUCGCUAUGACCUUUAAUCAAUCAUCCAACCGUUAAUGUUAAUUUUGUGAUCUAAAAAUCAUAGUUCUAUUUGCAUUUUAAUGGCUGCUAAAUGAGUGUCAUCAGGAAGAAAUAAUGGCAGGGUGGCCUUUUGCUACAAAUUCUUCCUUCCUAAUGGUAAUGCGGAAAGCUAGGAAACGGUGUUUGGAAAAGGUUUUGUUUCGCCUUCCAGCAGAUGUAUGGAGCUGCCCUUCUCAAAUGAAAAAACAAGCAAUUCCCCACAAAUACCACCACCUGUUGUUAUAAAUAAAUCCAAGCUGUAAAAUGGAACUCAGGCUUAAUGGCAAAAUCAUUACGGGCAUCCUACCCCCCUCCUGCCAACCGUUCAUUACGGCCUCGUAACCACUUGUUUCUCAGUCAUGUACCUUUUUAAGCUUCCGACUGGCCAUCAGGCACCAUCCCUAACCAGGAGAGAUGGCCUGUGGAUUUGUGGCUAAAAAUAUAAAGUUACCCACCUCGGGGAGAAUGAUCACAUGUCGUGUGCCUGGUUUAAAUGGCUAGAAACUGGCUACAUGCCACUCCAUAUUUAGGUUUUCCUUUAAAUCUUAAUCCAGACAUCCAGUGGCGUAUUUCACAGCUAAUGAACCUAACCUUCAAGUAGGAGCAUAAAAUCCUAAUUAAAUCAGGGCAUCGUGAGGUUAUUGGCAGGCUGUUUAUAAUUUGGCAGACUCUUGCUUCUAUGAGUAGUUAUAGGAAAAUUAUAAAGCAUUAGAACUGGAAUGCUGUAUAAUUAUCCUCUUGUCUAUCUCCAAACUCCUUUAGUUUGUCGUGGAGUCUAUCACUCCAUCUAUAAAUAUCAAUUGUUUAGUAGGCCCAGGGUAUUGGGCUUACUGAAAUAUUGUGCUCCUCAUGUAAAGCUAAGCUUUUUUCCUCCAAUCUCUUGGGAGGAAGGUCUAUCUGAAUUAUUUCUUCUGAUAAAAGAAGUCUUGAAUUUAUACAUUUGGAAGGAAAGCUUUAAAACUAAAGAGCUUCUGCGAUUUUCUGAGUACAGGAGAUUCAAAUAGGGAA